CAAGCAAGCCAUCUUAUCGCUUCCGGUGUAAGCAGGAAGAGGAAAGUCCGGGCAGCGUAGAGCACCGUGCUACCUAACGGGUAGGCAGUCAACUGGCGACGGUUGGCUGACAGCCAGUACCACAGAAAAGAUACCGCUUUCCUUCGGGGAAAGUAAGGGUGAAAAGGUAGGGUAAGAGCCUACCGCUCAGGGGGUGACUUCUGAGGCAGGGUAAACCUCACGGGCUGAAAGACCAAAUAAACCAGCGGUGUCCGCAAGGACCGAAGGGCUGCUCGUCCGGUGCUGGUGGGUAGGUCGUUAGAGACGGCAGGCGACUGCCGUUCUAGAUAAAUGAUAAGACUUUUUACUGGUUCGCCAGUGAAGAUGACAGAACCCGGCUUAUCGGCUUGUUUUUUAU
rnacentral:RNase_P_RNA from 1 species